CCUACGGGAGGCAGCAGUAAGGAAUAUUGGACAAUGGACGCAAGUCUGAUCCAGCCAUGCCGCGUGAAGGAUUAAGGCCCUCUGGGUUGUAAACUUCUUUUAUAGGGGACGAAAAAAGGGCUUUCUAGCUCGUCUGACGGUACCCUAUGAAUAAGCACCGGCUAACUCCGUGCCAGCAGCCGCGGUAAUACGGAGGGUGCAAGCGUUAUCCGGAUUCACUGGGUUUAAAGGGUGCGUAGGCGGGCAGUUAAGUCAGUGGUGAAAUCUUCGAGCUCAACUCGGAAACUGCCAUUGAUACUAUCUGUCUUGAAUACUGUGGAGGUGAGCGGAAUAUGUCAUGUAGCGGUGAAAUGCUUAGAUAUGACAUAGAACACCGAUUGCGAAGGCAGCUCGCUACACAAAUAUUGACGCUGAGGCACGAAAGCGUGGGGAUCAAACAGGAUUAGAUACCCUGGUAGUCCACGCCCUAAACUAUGGAUACUCGACAUUUGCGAUACACAGUAAGUGUCUGAGCGAAAGCAUUAAGUAUCCCACCUGGAAGUACGACCGCAAGGUUGAAACUCAAAGGAAUUGACGG
rnacentral:rRNA from 1 species